GGUCCCGCCUGCCCAGUGACUCUUUAAACGGCCGCGGUAUCCUAACCGUGCAAAGGUAGCAUAAUCACUUGUCCCCUAAAUAGGGACUGGUAUGAAUGGCUAAAUGAGGACUAAACUGUCUCUUGCGGACUGGCCAAUGAAAUUGAUUUUCCAGUACAAAAGCUGGAAUGUACCCAUAAGACGAGAAGACCCUGUGGAGCUUCAAAACCAAAUCACCCAGCAUGUUCAUUGGAUUUUUAGUUGGGGCGACUUCGGAAUAUAAUAAAACUUCCAAAAUAAAUUAAUUUCAUCAAGAUUAACACACCAAAAUUUUUUUAUAGAUCCAGCAAAUAAUUUUAUUUGUCUGAUCAAUGAACCAAGUUACCCCAGGGAUAACAGCGCAAUCUCCUUUUAGAGUCCAUAUCGACAAGGGG
rnacentral:rRNA from 1 species